rnacentral:lncRNA from 1 species
AGGAAAGCUUGGGGCUGGCAACUGAUACUGGGCUCUGAAACCAAAGGGCAAACCACAGGCCAUCUCCCACACACCCCUGCUCUAUCUCAGCAUGUGGUUGCUCCUGUGUUUUAACCUUUAAUUGGGGUUAGAGGGACAGGUGAUUUUCAGAGAUCAAAGGCACAAAAGAGUGAGGAAGAAGAGGGAAGAAAAUUGGUUUCCAAAAUAUCCAUAGCUGGUCAUGCCAAGAAAAGGAUUUGUGGACAUUUGCGAAAUGUCAUAGGACUAUUACACGGUGGCAGGGCCCUGACCUGGGAAUUUUCUGGGCUACAAAACAUGGAUGAAGUUAUGGAUCAAGUACCUGGAGGCGAAGUGGUUUGCUGUAAACAUAAACUUCACUAAAGGCUUCCUAGACUACUUUGCUUCAUAAUUAUGUUUGGAUAUUUGCUACCAAUGAUGUAAAUUUCAAGUAAGUAGCAAGCAAUUUUAUCCGCUUCCAAGAAAUGUGCUCUGGAGUGUAUGUCUGACUUUUCCA